AUCCGGAGGGGGCUAGCGUUGUUCGGAAUUACUGGGCGUAAAGCGUACGUAGGCGGACUGAUUAGUUGGGGGUGAAAUCCCAGGGCUUAACCCUGGAACUGCCUUCAAUACUGUCAGUCUUGAGAUUGGAAGAGGUGAGUGGAAUUCCUAGUGUAGAGGUGAAAUUCAUAGAUAUUAGGAGGAACACCAGUGGCGAAGGCGGCUCACUGGUCCAAUACUGACGCUGAGGUACGAAAGCGUGGGGAGCAAACAGGAUUAGAAACCCCAGUAGUCC
rnacentral:rRNA from 1 species